rnacentral:rRNA from 1 species
AGUGAAACGGGGCGCAGCCUGUCCGCCUGCCGCGUGAGUGACGAAGGUCUUCGGAUUGUAAAGCUCUUUUGGCGGGGACGAUAAUGACGGUACCCGCAGAAUAAGCCCCGGCUAACUUCGUGCCAGCAGCCGCGGUAAUACGAAGGGGGCUAGCGUUGUUCGGAAUUACUGGGCGUAAAGCGCACGUAGGCGGAUUUGUAAGUCAGGGGUGAAAUCCCGGGGCUCAACCUCGGAACUGCCUUUGAUACUGCAAGUCUCGAGACCGGAAGAGGUGAGUGGAAUUCCUAGUGUAGAGGUGAAAUUCGUAGAUAUUAGGAAGAACACCAGGGGGGAAGGCGGCUCACUGGUCCGGUUCUGACGCUGAGGUGCGAAAG